CUCUGUUUUGAAAUUGGAAUUGAAUCUGAUAUCAAUCUUUGUUUUUGGGGGCGGGUUUAAUGAUGAUGAUGUCGUCGCUUGGUGGUGGUGGUGGCGGAGGAGGAAGUUGUGGUGGUGGAGUUUGUUGCAGAAAUAGUAGAUUUCUGUGAUUUUCUGUUACCAACACAAGCAGAGAAAGCUGAGCGUGAUGAGGCAGUGGCGAGUGUGUCAAGUGUUAUUAAGUAUAUCUGGCCGAGUUGCAAGGUUGAGGUUUUUGGGUCAUACAAGACAGGGCUGUAUCUUCCAACAAGUGAUAUAGAUGUGGUGAUUCUGGAAUCAGGUCUCACUAAUCCACAGCUAGGUUUACGCGCACUCUCCAGGGCAUU